ensembl:snRNA U1 U1 spliceosomal RNA
AUACUUUCCUGGCAGUGGAGACACCAUGAUCAGGCAGGUGGUUUUCCCAGGGUGAGGCUCAUCCCUUGCACUCUGGGAGUGCUGACCCCUUAGAUUUCCCCAAAUGUGGGAAACGCGAUUGCAUAAUUUGUGGUAGGUGGGGGACUGCUUUUGCACUCUCCCCUA